CUCGGGUUGUGUGGAUGGAAACAGCAGGAGUGGAGGCCUGGGUCAGGUGGGAAACUGCUCCUCCUGGGCCCUCCUCCCUGCUGCGGGAGGGCCUCUCACCUGCCUGCUGCCACUGCUGUGUCGCCCCGUGUCCCCCGUCCUCCCGGCGGAUUCUUUCUGGAGCUUGCGGUAGCCUGCUUCAGGAUAGCAGUCUAUGCUGAUACUCUCUUAUAGCACUGGGCAAUGACAGCAAGGGCCAGCUCCCCAUCAGCCACAAGAUUACAAGGACAAACACUGAGCCUUCACAGUGUGCUGUGUUUUUGAGCUCUAAAGUACAGUGAGAUUGUGCAUUGGAUACUUUUUAUUUUAAUUCUUUUUUCCAAAUUCUUAAAUAAGUCAAAACUAGUAAAUCUAAAAAAAAGAGAAAGCCUCAGGAUAAUCCGUAGCCCAAGUAUUACAGGAUGAGCUGCAGACUGGUUUUGCUGUUUCUGAUGGGAAGUCCUGAAGACUUUGGAUAUGUUGACUUUGAAAAGUAAACACACACUUUACACAUCUAUUCAAAGCAUCAUUGUUAGGAAAAGCAUGGCUAGUUGAAGGAAUCUGGGCCCACUUCACCAUUGGAACAGCCUCUCUGUAGGCUCACUAGCUUGCCCAGCAUGGAACCCUUGUGGCUUGCCAGCAUUUGCUAUGAGGAAAGGGAGUUAAAAAUGUAGCUCCAUGAGGCCAGUGCUAUGACAUAGUUGGUUAAGCCACCAUCUCAUAUGGGAGUUUGAGCUGUGGCUUCUUUUCACUCACAAUCCAGCUCCCUACUAGUGUGCCUAAAGGGGCUCCUGGUUAAUUGCUUUGGCCUGGCCCAUCCCUGGAACAUUGCAGCCAUUUGGGGAAUGAACCAGAUGGAAGAUCUCUCUCUUCACCAUCCCCAGUUCCCUAAUGGCUUGUCCUUGGAUCCUUGUGAGUUACCUGAACCCUUUCCUUUUUCUUUGCCAUUACAGCUAUCACCAUCCCUCUUUGAUUUCAGUUUGGAAGUCCUAGAGGCAUUUUCCUGGGAAGCAGAACUAUUUCCACCUUUCCCAGCCAUCAGUGUCUAUUGUUCCUGGGGACCUUUGUGGUCAGCAGGUCUCUGAAAGCUUCUGCCAUGCAGAGCCUGUGAUCAGUCUCUUGCUGACCUUGGUGGAGUCCAUGGUUUCUUGUUGUUCAGCUGCUCCACAAGGACCUUCACCACAAAGCCUGCACAUUUUUUUUAUUUAAAAAAAAUCUUACUUAUGUUACCAAGGUUUCAUGCAUUUCAUAUACAGGUUUAGAAAGAUAGUGAUCCACCACACAUUAUCCUCUGUCACACCAAUAUCCCAACCCUUUUCCUUCCUACCUCUGCUGUUCCCACUCUUUAAUUUUUACAGGAUCCAUUUUCAAUUUACUUUAUACUCAUAAGUUUAAUCCUACAUUAAAUAAAGAAUUCAACAAUUAGCAUAAAGAAAAAACACAUUGUUCCUGAACAGAAGAGACGAGGGCUAUAAAUAAUCAGCAAAUCUCAAAAUAACCAUUUUACUCUAGUGGAUUACAUUACAGGUACUAUAUUAGUUACCACAGGUCAGAGAAAACACAUUGUAUCUGUCUUUUUGGCACUGGCUUAUUUCAUGAAGUAUAAUGACUUCCAGUUGUAUCUGCUUUAUUGCUAAAGACAGGAUUUCAUUUUUUUACAUAUGAGUUGUACUUUAUACCAUAAUUUCUUUAUUCAAUCAACAGCUGAUGGGCAUCUGGGUUGAUUCCAUGUCUUAGCUAUUAUGACUUGAGUGAAAAAUAACAUGUAGGUACAGAUAACACUUUCUUAUGCUGAUUAAUUUUGUUUUGGGUAAAUUCCCAGGACAGGGAUGGCCUCAUUAUAUGGUAGAUUUAUAUUCAGAUUUCUGAAGUAUAUACAUACUGCCUUCCACAGUGGCUGGACCACUUUACCUCUCCAUGAACACUGGGUUAGGGUACAUUUUUUAAUACUGCAUCCUCACCAGCAUUUGUUGUUUAUAGAUUUCUGUGUGAGAGUCAUUUGAACUGGAGUGAAGUGAAAUUGCAUUGUGGUUUUAUUUGCAUGUCCCUAAUUGCUAAUUGCUUUUUUCUUUUCUUAUUUAAAAAAUGUAUCAAUUUAUUUGAAAGGCAGAGUUACAGAGAGGAAGAGAAAAAGAGAGAUAGAGAGAGGAAGAGAGAGAGAGGGAGAGAGAGAGCGAGCUUCCAUCCAUUAGUUCACUCCCCAAAUGGCUGCAACAGUCAGAGCUGGGCCAAUCAGAAGCCAGAAGCCAGGAGCUACUUCUCACACAGGUGUAGGGGCCCAAGCAUUUGGGUCAUCUUCUACAACUUUCCCAGGCCAUAGCAGAGAGCUGGAUUGGAAGUGGAGCAGCCAGGACUCAAACUGGCACUAUGGGGGAUGCCAGCACUGUAGACAGUGGCUUUACCUGUUUGCCACAGUGCACUCCCUUUGAGCCUUUUUUCCAGCAUCUGAUGGCCAUUUGAAUUACCUCUUGAAAAAUGCCAGUUCAAGUCCUUCACCCAUUUCUUAAUUGGAAUGUUUGUUUUGUUGUUGUUAAAUUUCUGUAGCUCUUUAUAGAUUUUGUUUAUCAACCAUUUAUCAUCUGCAUAGUUUGUGAGCAUUUUCUCCCAUCAUGUCAAUUGUCUCUUCACUUUGGUGAGUGUGUCUUUUGCUGUGCAGAAACUUCUCAGCUGAAUGUAAUCCCAUUUGCCAAUUUUGUAUUUGAUUUCCUGUGCUUCCAUGGUGUUUUUUUUUUCAAAACUACUUUACCUAUGCCAAUGUGUUACAGAGUUUCCCCAGUGUUCUUUAGUAAUUGGAUGGCAUUGGAUCAUAGCUUUAGGCUUUUGAUACAUUUUGAGUGGAUUAUUGUGUAAGGUAUAAGGUGGAGGUCGUUUUAUAUCUCUGCAUGUAGAAACCCAGUUCUCCCAGCACCAUUUUUUGAAGAGACUGUCCCUGCUCUAGGGAUUGAUUUUAGCUCCUGUGUCAAGGAUAAGUUGGUUGUAAAUGUGUGGAUUGAUAAUUGGAGUUUCUAUUCUGCUCCAUUGCUCUACACGUCUGAUUUUGUGCCAGUACCAGGUUUUUCUUCUUAUAGUUGCACUGUAAUAUGCCUUGAAAUCUGAUAUUGUAAUGCUUCCAGCUUUGAUUUUAUUAUAUAAUAUUAAUUUAGCUACUUGGGAUCUCUUGUGUUUCCAUAUGAGUUUCAUCAUCUUUUUCUCUAGGUCUGAGAAGAAUGCCAUUGGUAUUUUGAUUGGGAUUGCAUCAAAUCUGUAAAUUGCUUUCGGUAGCAUGAACAUUUUGAUGAUAUUAAUUCUUCCAAUCUGUGAAAAUUGAACAUUUUUCAACUUUUAUAUAUCCUGUUUCCUUGUUUAGUGAUUUGCAAUUUUCACUGUAGAGAUCUUUGACAUCCUUGGAUAAACUUAUUCCAAGAUAUUUAAUUCCUUAUAGCUAUUGUGAAUGGAAUUGAUCUUAAAAACUCCUUCUCAGCCAAUGCAUUGUUUGUGUAUACAAAGGCUAUUGCUUUUUCUGUGUUAGUUUUAUAUCCUUCCACUUUAUGAAACUCUUUUUAUGAGUUUCAAUAGUCUCUCAGUGCAGUCUUUUGGAUCUCUGGUAUGUACGAUCAUGUCAUCUGCAUAUAGGAAUACUUUAUUUUCUCUUUUCCUUUUUUUUUUUUUUUUUUGACAGGCAGAGUGGACAGUGAGAGAGAGAGACAGAGAGAAAGGUCUUCCUUUGCCGUUGGUUCACCCUCCAAUGGCCGCCGCUGCAGCCGGCGCACCGCGCUGAUCCUGGCAGGAGCCAGGAGCCAGGUGCUUUUCCUGGUCUCCCAUGGGGUGCAGGGCCCAAGCACCUGGGCCAUCCUCCACUGCACUCCCUGGCCAUAGCAGAGAGCUGGCCUGGAAGAGGGGCAACCGGGACAGAAUCCGGCGCCCCAACCGGGACUAGAACCCGGUGUGCCGGCGCCGCAAGGUGGAGGAUUAGCCUAUUGAGCCACGGCGCCGGCUCUAUUUUCUCUUUUCCAAUUUUUGUUCCUUUGAUUUCUUUUUCUUGUCUAAUGGCCUUGGCUAAUGCAUACAGGACUACAUUGAACAGGAAUGGUGAUGCUUGUCUGGUUUUGGACUUAGUGGGAAUGCUUACAACUUUUCCCCAUUCAAUAAGAUGUUGGCUAUGAGUUUCUCAUAAACUGCCUUGUGUUGAGGAAUGUUCCUUGAAUAUCCAGUUUUAUAAAAGUUUUUAUCAUGAAAGAGUAUUGUAUUUUAUCAAAUGCUUUCUCUGUAUCUAUUGAGCUAAUCUUAUUGUUUUUGUUCAUCAUUUUGUGAAUGUGAUGUUAUCACAUGAAUGUGUGUCUGGCAUACAAACAUUCCCAUACCUGAAUAAGCACACAGAGAUAUGCACCUGUUACACAAAGAUGUUCACAGAGCACAUGUGUUUGCAUGGCUAUGUGUCUGGUACACAGAAGGAGUUCAUAUUCAUGUGCACACAUAAGGCCCCAAAGAUGGGAGUAGGCAGAGGUUAUGUUGGGUACCCAGGUACCCAACUCAGACAGGGUGUCCAGAUAGGCCCCAUGCAGAGGUUAUGUAGUAGACUAUCAAAAAAGAUGUCAGAAUGAUUUGGCACACAGCAGGUACUAAUAAAAGUUGUCCCCAUUCAGCCUGAAGAAAGUGUGCGUCCUACAAGGUAAACAAGCCACAUUUGUUUCAGAAAACAUUUUCUGGAGCAAAUGACCUGCAGAGGAGCACUUUUCAGGCCUCUCGGCUAAGAGGAUCAUUUUCCCUCUGGAUUUCGCCUUUAUCACCUGUACUUUUGCAGAGGACUUCCUGCUGCUGCAUUUUCUUAGCACAGGAGCCCAUCACCUUUACACCUCUCAUGGCAGACACAGAUCCAGACACAGGACACAGGGAAUUUAAGGGUCACCUGAUAAAACCAAGACAGAAAAUGUGGUUUGUUUCCUAUCUGGACAUCCUGCAAAAAUAAGCUCAGUCUCAGGUAAGAACUGCAAUAUUAUGGCUGAAGGAUAGUAGGAGUAACUCUCAGAUCCUGAGUGCUGCAAAGACAGCUAUCUUUUUAUGAAGAUUUAUUCAUUUCUUUGGAAUGCAGAGUUACACACAGAGAAGGAGACACACCACACACACACACACACACACACACACACACACACAGAGGCGGGGUGGAGAGA